UACGUAGGUGGCAAGCGUUGUCCGGAUUUACUGGGCGUAAAGAGCGCGCAGGCGGUCAUCCAAGUCGCGUGUGAAAGCCCCCGGCUCAACUGGGGAGGGUCACGCGAUACUGGUCGACUCGAAGGCAGGAGAGGGUAGUGGAAUUCCCGGUGUAGUGGUGAAAUGCGUAGAUAUCGGGAGGAACACCAGUGGCGAAGGCGACUACCUGGCCUGUUCUUGACGCUGAGGCGCGAAAGCUAGGGGAGCAAACGGG
rnacentral:rRNA from 1 species